AGGCGGGACGGUCACUCACAAGUACAAAGCGAAAUAUUCUUUCGCCUUUUACUAAAGAUACUGUGUGCGCGCCGCAAGUAGCAGCAUACGCUAAUUUUUUAGAGGGGUUCUUCCUAUUUUAGGAGU